UACGUAGGGGGCAAGCGUUGUCCGGAAUUAUUGGGCGUAAAGAGCGCGUAGGCGGUCCGAUAAGUCGGCUGUGAAAGUCAGGGGCUCAACCCUUGAAAGCCGGCCGAUACUGUCGGACUAGAGUCCGGAAGAGGCGAGUGGAAUUCCCGGUGUAGCGGUGAAAUGCGCAGAUAUCGGGAGGAACACCAGUGGCGAAGGCGACUUACUGGACGAUUGUUGACGCUGAGGUGCGAAAGCGUGGGGAGCAAACAGG
rnacentral:rRNA from 1 species